rnacentral:rRNA from 1 species
AACGAACGCUGGCGGCAGGCUUAACACAUGCAAGUCGAACGGUUGUAGCAAUACAGCAGUGGCAGACGGGUGAGUAACACGUGGGAACCUUCCUAGGGGUACGGAACAACUCAGGGAAACUUGAGCUAAUACCGUAUACGUCCGUGAGGAGAAAGUUUUAACGCCCCUAGACGGGCCCGCGUAGGAUUAGGUAGUUGGUGAGGUAACGGCUCACCAAGCCUACGAUCCUUAGCUGAUCUGAGAGGANGAUCAGCCACACUGGGACUGAGACACGGCCCAGACUCCUACGGGAGGCAGCAGGUGGGGAAUCUUGGACAAUGGGCGCAAGCCUGAUCCAGCCAUGCCGCGUGAGUGAUGAA